rnacentral:tRNA from 1 species
GGGGCGUAGGGGCCUGCCGGGGCGCCGGGGGCUUCGUGCGCCCCCGAAGUCCACCGUUCGUGCUGCCGCACGCCCCG